GGAGAGAUGGCCGAGUGGCUGAAGGCGCCGCUCUCGAAAAGCGGUUUUCGAUGUAAAUCGGAACGAGGGUUCGAAUCCCUCUCUCUCCG
rnacentral:tRNA from 1 species